rnacentral:rRNA from 1 species
AGCAGCCGCGGUAAUUCCAGCUCCAAUAGCGUAUAUUAAAGUUGUUGCAGUUAAAAAGCUCGUAGUUGAAUUUCGGGAUUAGUACGUUGGUCGUGCCUUNGGUACGUACUGGUGUUACUGNUUCCUACCUUCUGACGAACCAUCAUGUCAUUAAUUUGGUGUGGNGGGGAAUCAGGACUGUUACUUUGAAAAAAUUAGAGUGUUUAAAGCAGGCUCGCGCUUGAAUACAUUAGCAUGGAAUAAUGAAAUAGGACGUUGACCCUAUUUUGUUGGUUUCUAGGAUUGACGUAAUGAUUAAUAGGGAUAGUUGGGGGCAUUAGUAUUCAAUUGUCAGAGGUGAAAUUCUUGGAUUUAUUGAAGACUAACUACUGCGAAAGCAUUUGCCAAGGAUGUUUUCAUUAAUCAAGAACGAAAGUUAGGGGAUCGAAGACGAUCAGAUACCGUCGUAGUCUUAACCAUAAACUAUGCCCGACUAGGGAUCGGAUGAUGUUAUUUUUAAUGACU